AUUGCUCGUAGUUGAAUUUCUGGUUGUUUUGAUGGAUCUUCGGAGAAUUAAAAUAAUCAUCCACUUGAGAACUAAUUUUGUCCUUAACUGGACAUGUUAGAGAUCAGGUAUUUUACCUUGAAAAAAUUAGAGUGUUUCAGGCAGGUUUAUGCAUGAAUACACAAGCAUGGAAUAAUAGAAUAGGACUAUGAUCCAUUUUGUUGGUUCAUGGAUUAUAGUAAAUGAUUAAUAGGGACAGUUGGGGGCAUUAGUAUUUAAUUGUCAGAGGAGAAAUUCUUGGGAUUUAUUAAAGACUAACUUAAAGCAAAAGCCUUUG
rnacentral:rRNA from 1 species